rnacentral:ncRNA from 1 species
UUACAGGAAAUUAAGAGCAUAUGGUGGAUGCCUUGGUUCUCAGAGGCGACGAAAGACGUGGUAUGGCUGCGAUAAGCUUCGGGGAGGUGCCUAGCGACCUUUGAUCCGGAGAUCUCUGAAUGAGGAAACUCAUUGACU